CAAGACCGCGAGGUGGAGCAAAUCCCUAAAAGCCAUCCCAGUUCGGAUUGCAGGCUGCAACCCGCCUGUAUGAAGUUGGAAUCGCUAGUAAUCGCGGAUCAGCAUGCCGCGGUGAAUACGUUCCCGGGCCUUGUACACACCGCCCGUCACACCAUGAGAGUCGGGAACACCCGAAGUCCGUAGCCUAACCGCAAGGGGGGCGCGGCCGAAGGUGGGUUCGAUAAUUGGGGUGAAGUCGUAACAAGGUAGC
rnacentral:rRNA from 1 species